CUGACCACUUUUGCAGCCUUAACUUCCCCUCGGUGGUAGGGCCCCACCCGACUGAAAUACAGUGCGGAGACAGCAAGGACUUCAGACACAGAAUCCUUGCCUCGGUAGAGUGCAUGUUUAUGGGGAAGAGAAACAAAAACUCCUAAAUAAUCAGGCAAUCGAUGACAGGCUGUGAAGUGUGCUAUAAAGAAAAACAAACCUGGCAGCAGAAGUCCUGGGAUCCCUGAGAAUCCAGAGCAAGGGGUUGGAAGAACAUCAUCUGCCAUGCUGAAUGCAAGUCUUACUUCAUUUGCUAAGUAACAUGAAGACUUUGUAGAAACCUCUAUUGAUU